UGGCUGCUUCGAAAAACUAAUUGGAUAUUUGAUUGAUAAAUCAGUCUGGAACCUUGGAUUUUUUCUAAAAAACCAAAAAAAAAAAAAAAAAAAAGUGCUAGACUGAUUUAUAAUUUAUCAGUCUUGAAGUAUAAUUAGUUUUUCGAUAAAAAGUGCCAGACUGAUAAAUCAGUCUGGAACCUUGGAGUAAUAAGUUUCUUUCUCAAAUCUCAGGGGAUAAUUUAGCAGUUAAUAAAGUGCCAUUUUCAGUAUAAAUAUCAAACGGUACGACGCCGCAUGAGAAGGUCUAGUAAGUGGACUUACUGAAUGUUCAUGGUCUGACUGACUGCCGGAGCAGUUUGCCAUCUUGGCCAGGGUAUACAUUUCUAGGUGCACACAAAAUGCCCACCAGUGCGUGUGAGUGUGUGUAUUUAUCUUUGUUGAAGUAAGAUUGUUCUGUUCCAUUUCAGUGGGUGUCACUGAUGGGGAGCCAAGUCAGUAGAAGAUUCAUUUCCCUAGCCCAUUGUAGUUGUGGUUCUCGUACUUCUCACCACCAGUUGCAUUGCUCAUUGUAAUAUCCUGCAAUUUAAAACAAAAACAGCCUUCAACAUGAGGACACUCUGUAAACAUUUAUUUGCUAUUAGAAUUAGAAGCCCUUCUUCCUUAUUCUAUAAUUUUAAGAUAAAUGGACCAGUUGAACCAACAUGCCAAGUUCCCGUUUCUGUUGCCUCUCAAUGGCUGCUUAGUCCCAAUAUGUCAUUACUACAAACAUCUUUUUUUGAUUUAGUCAAAUUUUCAUACCCUUCGAGUCUGCCUGUUGCUUUUAAGGUUGGUGUGCGGCCCUUUUGUUCAGAAAUUGCUCCAUUGGGUCCAACAUUUGAUUGUACUGUGAAAGAUGUUGGGGAUAAUAAAUGUUUAGAAAGUGAUGGUGAGAAGUUGUACAAUGCUGUUGUCAAGCACUCUAAUGCACAUCAUAAUAUGGAGAAGACUCUUGACCAAGUUGGUGUGAAAUUGACUACUGAUUUAGUAGUACAGGUCCUUCAUAGGCUCCGGUUUGAGGAGAAAAUAGCAUUUAGGUUUUUUACGUGGGCAGGGCAUCAAGAGAACUAUGCCCAUGAGCCUCGAGCGUAUAAUGAUAUGAUUGACAUACUUUCUAGUACAAAAUACAAGGUCAAGCAGUUUCGAAUUGUUUGUGAUUUAUUGGAUUACAUGAAGAGGCAUGAUAAGAAUGCUGUACCUGUGGAAGUUCUGUUGAAAAUUUUGAGACAGUACACUGAAAAGCAUCUAACCUAUUUGCAGAAAUUUGCCAAAAAGAAGAGGAUAAGGGUGAAAACGCAGCCAGAGAUCAAUGCCUUUAACUUGCUGUUGGAUGCUUUGUGCAAGUGUAGUCUGGUUAAGGAUGCUGAAGCCAUGUUUAAGAAGGUGAAAAACAAGGUUACACCUGAUGCAAAUACUUACAAUAUAUUGUUUUUUGGAUGGUGUAGAGUAAGAAACCCAAGUAGAGGAAUGAGGGUACUGGAAGAAAUGAUUGAUUUGGGUCAUACGCCUGAUAAUUUUACUUACAAUACGGCCAUUGAUACCUUUUGCAAGGCAGGGAUGAUAACGGAAGCAGCUGAACUCUUUGAGUUCAUGAGAACGAAAGGUUCUACCAUGUCUUCUCCCACUGCUAAAACUUAUGCAAUCAUGAUUGUGGCUUUUGUCCAGAAUGAUAGAAUGGAUGAAUGCUUUAAACUUCUGGGGCAUAUGAUACACAGUGGUUGCCUUCCUGAUGUUUCAACAUACAAAGAGCUGAUUGAAGGGAUGUGUUUGGUUGGAAAGAUUGAGGAAGCUUACAAGUUCAUAGAAGAGAUGGGUAAUAAAGGUUACCCUCCUGAUAUUGUUACUUAUAAUUGUUUUCUCAAGGUCCUUUGUGACAAUCAAAAGAGUAGUGAAGCACUUAGGCUUUAUGGCAGAAUGCUUGAGGUGGGUUGUGUGCCUAGCGUGCAGACCUAUAAUAUGCUGAUUUUAAUGUUCUUUAAGAUGGCAGAUCCUGAUGGGGCAUUCGAGUCUUGGCACGAGAUGGAUAAGAGAGGCUGUGCACAGGACACAGAUACUUAUUGCUUGAUGAUUGAUGGGCUUUUUGGUUGCAAUAAGAUUGAAGAUGCAUGUUUUCUUUUGGAAGAUAUGGUAAACAAGGGAAUGAAAUUGCCGUAUCGGAAGUUUGAUUCAUUUUUGAUGCAGCUUUCGGUGAUUGGUGAUCUCCGUGCCAUCCACAGGCUUUCAGAACAUAUGAAAAAGUUCUACAAUCCUGCUAUGGCAAGACGAAUUGCACUGAAUGAGAAGCGAAAGAGCAUCAGUUUGAGAGGGAAGUAAUACUAGGAGAUAAGACACUGGUAGCCAUUGGGGUACAACUGUCUCUGUGGAUAAAUGUCAUGGCUUAGCACUGAUUGUCCAUGUCACCACAGAUCCAACCCCCAUCUCUUGAUAGUCCCACGUGGGAUAAGGAACCAUCAGGCUGGAGGCAUUAAGGGGUUGCUUGGAGAAUUUUAGUCAUCUGCUGGAUUUUGGAAAGCAGAUAUAAUUCAUUCUGAUGAUUGCUAGAUGAUUGAUAUCAUCCACGCAUCUUUGCUCAAGGAGUUAAAUUUUAGAAGUUUUUCAGCUUAAAAUCCAUCAAAACUACAUCCCCAUGUUGGAGUUUGAGAAAGGACAACUAUAGGCUCUUACUGGGAAACUAAAUUAGUUGAAAGACUGUUCUCGAAAGAUAUCAGUUGAUGGGCUCAAUGCAGCAUGUUGAAAUUGAUUUCAGUGGGCUUUUGAAGGAAAUGUAUCAGGUGCUCUAAAGCAUUUAAUGUUGACAGAACUCACCACCCUAACAGGUUGUCAAAUUUUGGCUAUAAAUGUAUUUGUACUAGGCUUGGAUCUUGAAAAGAAAAAAUAAAAAAAUAAAGAAGGCAAUCUUGCUAGCUUUAACAGUGACAAAUGGCUUUGGAGUAGCUUUUCCAAUGAUUCUGAAAAUUCUGAGUAACUAUGCUGUAUGCAAUUUUUUUUAUUCCUUUUUUUUUUUUGCCUUUUUGUUUCCCUUUUAUUUUUGAGAAUCAGGUGUCUUUGGCUUUUAAGUUGUAACAUUCUCCAUAACUGAUCAUUGUGUAUGUAUCAUAAUCUCCUGGAAUCUCUCACCAUGUCCUCUCAACAUCAGUUUUGUGUCCAAAUAUGUCUUUCGUGAACUAGAUUGCACAUCAAGUACAACCUUUUCUUUUGAGAGAUUAAUCAGGAACCAAAGCUGAGAUCCUGGUUGAAGAUAGCUAGCCUGGCAAUGUUGAUAUGGUGGAGUUUUGAAUUUUCUGUAAGUGGGUUGUGGGUAUUAGCCUAGUAUUGUUAAUUAAUAUAUGUUUUAUUUUAGGUUAUAGUGGUGUUAUUUAUACAGAAUCGAUAUAGAAUGAUUUGGCAGCAUGUUAAAUGCAGGGUAUAGGAUCUUCUGUUACACGUGACUGGAUAUUAAAAACUUAUAAUUAUUGUGUAAAGAAAUUUUUUUAAGGAUAGUAUUUUCCUUUAAUCUGUCUUCUCUCUUUGGUUUCUUUUUUGGAACGCUAAGCUCGACUGGUUGAGCAUUCAAGUAGAUGAGUGGAGACUGAAAGUUAGCGACCUUGUUUACAUUGUGAGAUGCAGCUUUCUUUUGCUGUGGUCGAAUGUUUUUUUUUUGAGAUGGGCUGGUGUCUGAAGUGGAGAAAGACCUAUGUUAUGAAUUAACAUAGGAAAAUUAUAUGAUAUCCUGGAAGUAAUGCUUUUUCUUUUUUUCCUCUUUUUUCUUUUUUACAUGAAUGAAUGGUCCAACCAUGAAUUCAAGUAUUCAACCAAUAGGAUCCAACAGUAUGUGAGAGGAGGGAGCAUUGUUUUUAGAGUACUAAAACUAAAUACUUACUCUUUUGAUUUGUAUUGUAUAAAUCAUGGACAUUGAUUUCCUUUUUC